CAGAAACUCAACAUUAUACAGACUGUUAGGUUAAAGAGAACAAUGAAGUAAGAUUUUCACACUUCCUAUUGAGGAAGGGUUGAAAUCACAGAAGGUGACUUAAAAAUAGACACAGUAUCUUCUUUAUCCUGAAGAGAAAUAUCAGAGAGGAAUUAUUUACUGCUUUGAUUUUGAAGGAAAGAUAUUAAAAGAGAGAAUGGACUUCUUACAGUGUACGUACCUGAUUAACUUGGGCUGCGAAGGAAUUAACAUCUUACAGAAAAUGAGCCUGAUUAACUUGUGGUGUUGAAUCAGAGGGGGCUGACCUGAAGGAUAGUUGUUAGUCACCCUGUGAAAAGGGUCACAGUUAUGGAAAAGUGAUGGGGAAAGUACUUCUGUGUAUGUUUAUCUUAUUGAUUGUUGAAUAAAAUACUGUUUGGGCCAAUGAAACAGCAAGUUAGACAGGACUAGGAGUCAAAGAGGAUUCUGGGAAACGUAGUAGAGAAGUAGUGUUCCAGGCAGGAAGUGACAUAGCAAGAAGACUCAUAAGCAAGGAGAAAGAGGAAGUGGCCCCUUUCCCCUUCACAUCCUUCAGCGGCAGGAUGUGAGCCACCGGCAAGAGAGGGCACCAGUGAAAGGCAUUCUCUAUAAAGAUAAGUCUUAUAACAUAUAUAGAUUUAUGAUAAUUAAGACUGAGCUAACAGAUGAGAAAUCCUAGGCAUUGGCCAAGCAGCUUUGAACCUAAUACAAGUUUCUGUGUAUUCAUUUGGGCCUAACUCAGGCAGGCGGCUGGCGUAAAGCCCACACGUGGCGGUGGGGCUCAGGCGGCUUUUGGCAGAAAGAUUUAUCGUAACAGAAAAGGAUCGAUGUCUUUUCUGACAAACAUAGAGAAAAAGCACAUUUGUGGUUAAAAGUCAGUCACAGGCCACCAGCUGCCUGGAACGCACCAUCCCAAGCUGAGAACAUCAUGCAGACUGCAAUCAACACUGGAGACUGCUGUAGAGAGAAGACUGUGAUGAGCUGCCUAGGACCCACUCACCAUGGAAAUCUGGGAGUUGUCUUUUGAAUGGCUUUCUGCUGAUAAUCUGCCUCGUGUUUCUGAAGUUCCCCUAGCGAG
rnacentral:lncRNA from 1 species